GGGGCAUUAGCGCAGCUGGCUAGCGCACCACACUGGCAGUGUGGGGGUCACCGGUUCGAAUCCGGUAUGCUCCA
rnacentral:tRNA from 1 species